CAUUAUCCAGCCCCAUUUAAAAUCUAGCUGAAGAAACACUUUGAAACAAAGAAUAUUAGUGAGCAUCAAACAGCACUGGAAUUCCUGUAGCAUUACACACAACUAGGGGGAAGUACUAAUUUGUGGAGGAAUGAAAGAAAUCUGCCAGGAGAUAUUUAAAAGUGUCCCACAAUCUGGAAUAUGGAUUAAUCACUGCAGUACCCAAGGAAACCCACACCAAGUAGGACACAAAACCAACAGAAAAUGGGAAAAAGAGGACCUAAUUGGAGAACUGCACUCAGAGCCCAGCUGCUGGAUAAAGCAUCUAUGGAUGUCCCCACAUCUUCCCCAGAACAACAUACAGUAAAAAUAUGACAAAGCAGGCACAGGUGAUGGAUCUUCUGGUAGAAGACAAGAACCUGAAUGGAAACCUGAAUGAACACUUUUGCAAUCUACAAGGAGUACGAUUCUUUUUUCCUGAGAAAGAGGCGGUUCUAUGAAUGGAGGCAAGAUUUUAAAAAGAUUGUCUCCUUCCAACCCGUUCACAUGAAGCUACAAUUCAAAGACUGCAAUU